ensembl:lncRNA
UGCCAUGUAAGUAUUUUGGAGCAGAGAAUUAAGUGCAGGCUGUUUAAAAUAAACUUCAGGUAAAGCAUCUGCCACUUAUGUAUUUUACAUGUAAAUGCACUUUUAACUGCACAAAGAAAUAAAAAAAUAACACCAGCCAUAUCACUAUUAUAAGAAUGAGUGUACUGGAACAGAAAAAAAUACAUAUAGGAGAUUAAAAACUAGAUGAAUCCACAACCAUAGCAGCUUCUGUAUAAGGAUUUUAUUUAGUGUGAAAUGUUUUGUGAACCGGUCUCUUCCUCAGACAUCAGAAGUUUGUGUUUUUUGCUGCACAAACCCAUCUUUUUGUUAUUAGCUCCACUCCCUCUGUCUCCUAUAAAGUUUAUGGCAUCUCUGCUGACAACCAUGUAGAACAAAGGGGGGAAACAUUCUAUAAACUCAUAAGAAACUAGCACUCACUCUCACUGUAUUUUACUCAUCGACACACACAGAAAGAGAUGCAGUUCACAUGUGUAUCAAAACACAGACUGAUGAUUAUACAUUUUUUCUUUUUUCUUUUUUUUUAAACCUCCUCCCCGACCAAUUUAUUUCUUCCCUUCACAACCACAGACAAAAUGUAUGGACACGUUUUUUUCCCCUCCACCACAUUUCCUCCAUUUCUCAUCUUGUCUCAUCUCUUGAUCAUUUACUUGAUCAUUUCCAGCACUGUCCCAUCUGGACAAACCAUGAAACAUCAAACAGAUAGUUACAUCUGGCCUCAUCAUGCUGACAUCUUAGUGCAUGUAUGGGUGUGUGUGCGUGCGUGUCUGUUGUCAGUCCUGAUGCAUUGAUGAUUUAUUGCCGUGUAUUAUGACUAUUACUCUGUGAAGUCAAAUUUGGCACUGAACACAUGACGUGAACGUUAAUACUGGAUUCAAGUUUUUUCUCAGGAAGAGAAAAGGAAAAAACUAAAUGGGUAUCAAGUGAAAGAUUUUUCAAUAGAAAAUAUGAAGAACAUCGAAGAUAUUUCCUAAAAUGUCAAAAGGGCACAGCAAAACCAAGAGAUACAACAAUCCAUGACAAAGUAGUUAGCAGGGGUGUCUGAGGAUUGUAAUGAUUUCAGGAAGAACGCUUGAAAUAAA